AGAGUUUGAUCAUGGCUCAGAACGAACGCUGGCGGCAGGAUUAACACAUGCAAGUCGAGCGCCCCGCAAGGGGAGCGGCAGACGGGUGAGUAACGCGUGGGAACGUACCCCCCGGUUCGGAAUAACUCAGGGAAACUUGAGCUAAUACCGGAUACGGCUGGAAGGCGAAAGAUUCAUCGCCGGGGGAUCGGCCCGCGUCC
rnacentral:rRNA from 1 species